UACAGGGGGUGCAAACGUUGCUCGGAAUUACUGGGCGUAAAGCGCACGUAGGCGGCUCUUUAAGUCGGAGGUGAAAUCCUGGAGCUCAACUCCAGAACUGCCUUCGAUACUGUAGAGCUUGAGUUCGGGAGAGGUGAGUGGAACUGCGAGUGUAGAGGUGAAAUUCGUAGAUAUUCGCAAGAACACCAGUGGCGAAGGCGGCUCACUGGCCCGAUACUGACGCUGAGGUGCGAAAGCGUGGGGAGCAAACAGG
rnacentral:rRNA from 1 species